AGGUUAACGAAGCGAACCGGGGGAACUGAAACAUCUAAGUACCCCGAGGAAAAGAAAUCAACCGAGAUUCCCCCAGUAGCGGCGAGCGAACGGGGAGGAGCCCAGAGCCUGAAUCAGCAUGUGUGUUAGUGGAAGCGUCUGGAAAGGCGCGCGAUACAGGGUGACAGCCCCGUACACAAAAGCGCAUGUGCUGUGAGCUCGAUGAGUAGGGCGGGACACGUGGUAUCCUGUCUGAAUAUGGGGGGACCAUCCUCCAAGGCUAAAUACUCCUGACUGACCGAUAGUGAACCAGUACCGUGAGGGAAAGGCGAAAAGAACCCCGGCGAGGGGAGUGAAAAAGAACCUGAAACCGUGUACGUACAAGCAGUGGGAGCACAGGUUUACCUGUGUGACUGCGUACCUUUUGUAUAAUGGGUCAGCGACUUAUAUUCUGUAGCAAGGUUAACCGAAUAGGGGAGCCGGAGGGAAACCGAGUCUUAAUUGGGCGUUAAGUUGCAGGGUAUAGACCCGAAACCCGGUGAUCUAGCCAUGGGCAGGUUGAAGGUUGGGUAACACUAACUGGAGGACCGAACCGACUAAUGUUGAAAAAUUAGCGGAUGACCUGUGGCUGGGGGUGAAAGGCCAAUCAAACCGGGAGAUAG
rnacentral:rRNA from 1 species